UGCACACAUUUCAAAUUGAAAAUUAAAACUUAGGAUUAAAUAAUCAAAAUAACCACAACAAAUAUUUACUUAUAGCUUUACCUACCACUUAUUGCUAUUUUUUCUUCUUUGUUCUUCGAAGUUCGAAAGCGUACUUUGCAAACGUUGAAAUUUAAAUAAGCCUUUCUAAAGAUGUCAAUUUAAGCGCGCUAUACAGUCCUAGCGGUCAUUAUAAAAAGCGUUCAAAAGCGUCUCGUUGAUUAAAUCGCCCGACAACCUCGAAAGGAGAAGACAGCAAGUUCGUUGAAGAAAUUAAGGCAAACUCUAUAGCGACUGGUGAAAAUGGGAUUCAAAUUUGCAGCAUCGCUUUUGUUCCUUUUCUUUGUAAUGAUAAAUGUUCAUGGAAUUAAACAAGGCCGCUUUGGCUUUGGACGUCUGUACAAAGACCAAGAAAAACAAGUUGAUGCUGAAACAGAACGAAGUGGUUUUUUGUGCUUUGGACCAGUCUCAGAUGGUUUUUGCCAUGCCGGACCAUGUCCAGCCCAUUUAACAUUUUGCGGACAGCAACAGUGCAUGGAACCGGCUUCAAACUGCUGCUGCUUUGUCUAGGGAACCAUAAAUAGUCAAAGCGUGCAUAGAGUCGUGAAGAAAAACAGACUAUGGCAGUGUAGAAUGAUUAGUUAAAACAUAAGUUGCAUGACAAAAAGGGCAGGCAUUGUAAACUAGAUGAAAAGUAUAAGCACAGUUAAUUGCUGAAUGUAAGCAUUGAAGUAAUACAUGUUCUCACGACAUACUGUUUGUGUUUCUUAAUUACCUUGACUGCUCAAUGAUUGAAGUACGUUAUACUACUUGGACAGAAAUGCAGGCAGACAAGCGGUGAGGUAUGCGGGCCCAUGCAGUUCAGUUUUUCAGUGCAUUUUUGAGAUCAGUGUCGCUUGUAUUAUAGCAACAGCUAAAAGAAAAUAAUGGCAUUCAAAAAUCACUUUUCGAAAUUGAUG